rnacentral:lncRNA from 1 species
AAACAGCGAUUCUUCUGCAGUGAAUCACUUCCAGAAAUGAAUAGCCACAGUUUUUUGGAAUGAACGUUGUGAAAUCCCUCCUUUAUAAUGGCAGGUUUUCAGUUGGUGGUUUUAUCAGAAUUUCUCAAGAUCAAAACGAAACCUUCUCUUUAAAAAGGAAAGAAAGUACUAUCGAUACAGAAAGCAAAAGUAUUUCCAGUCUCCUACUGAACUGUCACGGCAGACCUCUCUGUAUCUAUAUUUAGAGCUGUAUGUCCAUAUAUUUGCCUGAAUGUGUGAGUUCUUGGAAGUAUGGAUUCAUUGCCAGGAGCUGGUGAUUUCCUAAGCAGAGGUCGCUAACUACAAGAAAUGUUACACUCGGACAAGUCCUGCGCUUGGGGAUCCUCUGUACGCCCGUUCACUGGUGCAGGUCUUCUGAACAAAUGCCUCCUGAGGAUUUCUGUGCCUGGAAAAUAUCUGUUAACAGACUGCUUUUACACCUACGUUGUCUUGGGUUUAUUGUAAGAGAGCAUUAUGAAG